AACAUCUGUUACAGAACAUUUGAUAAGAAUAUUUUAAUCCUCAUUUCAAUCAUGUUUACAUUUUCUAUAUUGCUUCUCUUCAUUUGGGCAAGAUUUGAAUCUAAAUCUCCAGACUAACUGCUCACUGGCCCUGAGUCGUGAGUUCCAGCCCUGGCCGAGUCAUACCAAAGACUAUACAAAUGGGACCCAUUACCUCCCUGCUUGGCACUCAGCAUCAAGGGUUGGAAUUGGGGGUUAAAUCACCAAAAAUGAUUCCCAAGAGCGGCUCACUGCUCCCCUCACCUCCCAGCGGGUGGAACAAGGGGAUGGGUCAAAUGCAGAGGGUAAUUUCACCACACCUAGUGUGUGUGUGUGUGUGUGUGUGUGACUAUCAGUGGUACUUUAACUUUAACUACUAUUUACUCUAAUUCUAAAUACAAUGUAUUAUUAUAAUCUACUAUCUAUGAAUGUUCCUAUUCAUCCAUGUCAUGUAUUCUCAGGGCAUUGAAUCCAUCGCAACUGGACUGUUCAGAUUGUUAAGAAGACGUUCUCCCCUUCGUCCAAACAGGCUUCAUCAAUUCACGCUUGAAAAAAUUUGAUAAAUCAGCUGUAGUCUGAGGGCAUGGUGCAGGAUCCACAUUUUUCAUAUUCUUUGAGGAUAAAUACUUGUCCAAGGUAGUUGUCCUCCAGAGAAAAUACAUAUUUUGGAUCCUGCACCAUGGCCUCAGAAUAAACUUGGCUAGGACUGUCACGACCAGGGCGCAUUCCAAUGCGCCCUCAUCUGUUCGUCCUGACGAGCGCACCUCGGGACACGCCCACGGCCGCGGCGCACUUUCAGCGACGCACCGCGCGUGUCUCCGCUCUGCUGCAGCCGCCAGCUGCAAUCAUUCACUGGCAAUCGGCGCACCUGUCGGUAAUGAGGAAGCUGCCUUCAUAAGCCUGCUGCACCGGCCAUCAGGCACCGGAAUAUAGUCUCCUGUAUAUACCCUCCGUCACCUUGAAUGUGAGCUGUGCGUCUCACCUUUCCCUGGAUCUCCCUCUGGACUCUGACUGCCUCCCUCGAUCCUUGACUUCCCCCGCAUUGGACUCGGACUUCUCUCUCCCCUGAACUUCCUCGUCUCUUGACAACAUUUGGUAACACACACUUCAGCUAAUCGACACACAUAGUCCCACACAUACACUCUUGGAUUU